rnacentral:rRNA from 1 species
AGUGAACGCUGGCGGUAGGCCUAACACAUGCAAGUCGAACGGCAGCACAGUAAGAGCUUGCUCUUACGGGUGGCGAGUGGCGGACGGGUGAGGAAUACAUCGGAAUCUACUUUUUCGUGGGGGAUAACGUAGGGAAACUUACGCUAAUACCGCAUACGACCUACGGGUGAAAGCAGGGGAUCUUCGGACCUUGCGCGAUUGAAUGAGCCGAUGUCGGAUUAGCUAGUUGGCGGGGUAAAGGCCCACCAAGGCGACGAUCCGUAGCUGGUCUGAGAGGAUGAUCAGCCACACUGGAACUGAGACACGGUCCAGACUCCUACGGGAGGCAGCAGUGGGGAAUAGUGGACAAUGGGCGCAAGCCUGAUCCAGCCAUACCGCGUGGGUGAAGAAGGCCUUCGGUUUGUAAAGACCUUUUGUUGGGAAAGAAAAGCAGCAGGUUAAUACCCCGCUGUUCUGACGGUACCCAAAGAAUAAGCACCGGCUAACUUCGUG